rnacentral:rRNA from 1 species
AUUGAACGCUGGCGGCAGGCCUAACACAUGCAAGUCGAACGGUAACAGGAAGCAGCUUGCUGCUUUGCUGACGAGUGGCGGACGGGUGAGUAAUGUCUGGGAAACUGCCUGAUGGAGGGGGAUAUCACUGGAAACGGGAGCUUACACCGCAUAACCUCCCAAGACCCAAGGGGGGGACCCUCGGGUCGCCUGUCAUCGGAUGUGUCCAGAUGGGACUAGCUAGUAGGUGGGGUAAAGGCUCACCUAGGCGUCGAUCCCUAGCUGGUUUGAGAGGAUGACCAGCCACACUGGAACUGAGACACGGUCCAGACUCCUACGGGAGGCAGCAGUGGGGAAUAUUGCACAAUGGGCGCAAGCCUGAUGCAGCCAUGCCGCGUGUAUGAAGAAGGCCUUCGGGUUGUAAAGUACUUUCAGCGGGGAGGAAGGGAGUAAAGUUAAUACCUUUGCUCAUUGACGUUACCCGCAGAAGAAGCACCGGCUAACUCCGUG